rfam:Picea glauca, whole genome shotgun sequence.
UCAUAUGUACAUGCCUAUAACAUAGAAUUAAUGCAUCGGAUCCCAUUAGAACUCUGUAGUUAAGUGUGCUUGGGAUAGAGUAGUACUGGGAUGUGUGACCUCAUGGGAAGUCCUAGUGUUUUACAUGCC